rnacentral:rRNA from 1 species
CGUCUAGGCGGCCGCGUAAGUCUCGCGUGAAAGCUCCCGGCUCAACUGGGAGAGGGCGCGGGAAACUGUGUGGCUCGAGACUCGGGAGGGGGGUGCGGAAUUCCCGGUGGAGUGGUGAAAUGCGUUGAGAUCGGGAGGAACACCAGUAGCGAAGGCGGCACCUGGCCGAGGUCUGACGCUGAAGCGCGAUAGCGGUGGGGAGCGAACG